rnacentral:rRNA from 1 species
ACACGCUGGCGGCGUGCCUAACACAUGCAAGUCAACUUGACUGAAGGAGCAAUCUGACAGUAGAGUGGCGCAAGGGUGCGUAACGCGUAAGUAACUUGCCCCAAGGUAAGGAAUAACGUCGAGAAAUCGGCGCUAAUACCUCAUAAUGCAGCGGAUCCGCAUGGAUAUGUUGUUAAAGGUUUACCGCCUUGGGAUAGGCUUGCGUCUGAUUAGUUAGUUGGUGUGGUAACGGCACACCAAGGCUACGAUCAGUAACUGGUCUGAGAGGAUGAUCAGUCACACUGGAACUGAGACACGGUCCAGACUCCUACGGGAGGCAGCAGUGAGGAAUAUUGGGCAAUGCUCGAAAGAGUGACCCAGCAACGCCGCGUGGAGGAUGAAGGUAUUCUAUAUCGUAAACUCCUGUGAGAGCAGACGAAAGACAGAUUAUUAAUCUGGAUGACUGUAUGCUCAGAGGAAGCCCCGGCUAACUACGUG